rnacentral:hammerhead_ribozyme from 2 species
AGCCGAAACGCCUGGCUUAAGCAGGCGUCGCGAGGAAAUUGGUUACCUCGCCUGAAGAUGGCAGCCAACA